rnacentral:rRNA from 1 species
ACAAGUACCGUGAGGGAAAGUUGCAAAGUACUUUGAAGAGAGAGUUCAAGAGGACGUGAAACCGAUAGGAUGGAAGCAGAUGAAGUUGACGAACGAGUGUCGUAUUCAGGGUUGCAUCUUGUGUGCGGUCUGUUCUUGCGACCGAUGUGGGCCGGCGGCUUUGGUCAAUGCACUGUGUCAAGCGUCGAUGGUGACCCUGCGGAGGGAUAAUCAGUCGGUCGUGCGAUGCGUGGUAUGGCUAAGGAUUCGCCGGUCUUGAAGUCAGCGCCUCAUCUGACCCGUCUUGAAACACGGACCAAGGAGUGUAGCGUUUACGCAAGUCUUAGAGUGUGUCAAAACUUUGAGGCGUAACGAAAGUGAAUGUAGUUUAAUCUACUGACUUGGGAUGCGUUGUCUCUUGUGGACGGCGUCGGACCAUGGUUAUAUCGCGAUCGCUUGCGAUGCGGUGUAAAUAGAGCGUAAACGGUGCGACCCGAAAGAUGGUGAACUAUGCCUGAGCAGGAUGAAGCCGGAGGAAACUCUGGUGGAAGUCCGAAGCGGUUCUGACGUGCAAAUCGAUCGUCUGACUUGGGUAUAGGGGCGAAAGACUAAUCGAACCAUCUAGUAGCUGGUUCCUUCCGA